GUUGCAUAGAUGGUCGCGUCCCGAUAGGGAUGAGGAAAGUCCGGGCUCCAUAGGGCGGGAUGCUGGAUAACAUCCAGGAGUGGUGACGCUAUGGAAAGUGCAACAGAGAGUAGACUACAAUGCAACUGCAUUGUACAGGUGAAACGGUGCGGUAAAAGCGCACCAGUCUCGACGGUGACGUCGGGAGCUAGGUAAACCCCAUCUGGAGCAAGACCGAAUAGAAGGAUAAGGUGCGCCCGCCGGUCCUUGGGUAGAGUCGCUACAGGUCAGCGGUAACGUUGAUCGCAGAAGAAUGAUCAUCACCUUGAGAGGUGCAAACAGCUUGAGGAACAGAACCCGGCUUAUUUGC
rnacentral:RNase_P_RNA from 1 species